UCCGAAAGACUGACUUGGCUGAUUCUAAAAUCCAAGCCCCCUCAUCCUCCUCCAAAGAGAUGCACGAGCCCCUGAGGCAAGAUAGGAGAGAGUCUUGCCCCCAGAGGAAUUUCAAUCAUGUCCUUUCAAAAGGUGUAAUCAUUUGACUAAAUCUCCUGCUUUGAAGAGGAAAACACCUUUUGAAUAUGUAAGUUCUGGUGUGUUCCUAAAAACAGCGGAUCCCAUCUGGCUUCUUUGUAGCCAUUCCUGGUGAGCCCAGAUUUGAAAAGAUCAUGUCAGUGCAUGUCAUCGGGAUGCCUUCAUUAUCAAAGGCUGCUUGCUUAUAAAUAAAUAAUUAAUGUAUUUUCCCAUUCCCAUUUAAUUAGGAACGUUAUAAGCUACCCAUGAGCUAAGAAGAGUCUCACGAUUGAAACAACGGGAAGCUGGGAAUUCGCAACAGCCGUGCCUGUGGCCCUUGGAGCUCGCAUGUAAGCCUGGAGAAACUUCUGUCCAGCGCAUGGGACCACACGGAUGUUUGUUGCAGCAUUGUGAUGACAGCAGAGAACUUCCAAGAACCUGGCCAUCCUUCAACAGAGAGAGAGAGUGUGCACAAGCAGCGGGAGCAGCAGGCAGAGGAAGAGGGAGAAGCAGACUCCCCAUUAAGCAGGGAGCCCGACGCGACACGGGGUUCGAUCCCAGGACCCUGAGAUCAUGACCUGAGCCAAGCGUAGAUGCUUCACAGACUGAGCCCCUGGGCACCCCCUUGAGCAUUUUAUUCUAUGCAAGGACUUAAAAUUGUGCCAGGUAUGAGGUAGGAGUACAAAUGUGAACGAAUGAAUGGGUCCACGCACUCACCGGACCUGCAAAGAGUCUGGGACUUUUCCCUAACUUGCUAGCCUGCCGCAUCUCAUGGAUGCCGGCAGAAGAUGUGGGUCUUCUGGAUCGGAGACAGGACAUCAGUGCUCACAGCACAGCCGGCAGCCUGGGCUUCCUCAUUCCAAGGAGGGAAAAACAAGCCAGUCAAGAUGCUUUCGGAUCAGGAAGGUGAGAGCAGUGACUGGUGUUGACGGGGCCGGGGCACUGACGGAGAGAACGGCCCCCCGAGGAGGAGCGGCCGUGUGGGGAGGCACCUGCUGAGGGCCAGACUGGCGGCAGGGACGCGGCUGGGAGGCUGCUGCUAUGGACCAAGUCACGCGAAGGAAGAGGAGAACGGAUGUGAGCACGAUUUAGGAGUUUCGAGCUCAAGCAGGAGCUUAGUUAAGCUUCCAGAAAGCAAGCAGGUGCGCUUCCGGCAGCAGGCAGGAGUGGGAGGCCAGGGCACACCUGGGCAGGUGGCGAGCCCGUCGCGGCACCUAACGCUUCUGUCUGGCUGGUACAAGCCACUGCUCGUGUGCUACUCGGGAAGUCCGCCCCAGAACCCUCACGGGAUGAGGAGACCAAACCCCCGGAGGUUACGCGACUUUUCCAGGGUCACAUGAGGCCGUAAUCGGGGAGUUCCCCUCCGGCCUAGGGCCGCCUCUCCUCACCUGCACACAGUUCCACAAGCUCCAGCCAAGGACUCUGGGCUUGGAAUUACGAGUCCAAACCAUCAUCCAAUAGAACUUUUAAAAAAUGUGUUCAGGGGCGCCUGGAUGGCUCCGCCGGUUAAGCAUCCAACUCGGUUUCGGCUGGCGUCCUGGGAUCAAGGCCCACCCUGGGCUCCACGCUCAGCAGGGAGCCUGCUUGUCCUUCUCCCCUUCCCCUCUGCUCUCCGCCUCCCACAUUCUCUCUCUCUCAAAUAAAUAAAUAAAAUCUUUACUAACUACC